rnacentral:rRNA from 1 species
AGCAUAUCAAUAAGCGGAGGAAAAGAAACCAACAGGGAUUGCCCUAGUAACGGCGAGUGAAGCGGCAACAGCUCAAAUUUGAAAUCUGGCGUCUUUGGCGUCCGAGUUGUAAUUUGCAGAGGGCGCUUUGGCAUUGGCAGCGGUCCAAGUUCCUUGGAACAGGACGUCACAGAGGGUGAGAAUCCCGUACGUGGUCGCUAGCCUUUACCGUGUAAAGCCCCUUCGACGAGUCGAGUUGUUUGGGAAUGCAGCUCUAAAUGGGAGGUAAAUUUCUUCUAAAGCUAAAUACUGGCCAGAGACCGAUAGCGCACAAGUAGAGUGAUCGAAAGAUGAAAAGCACUUUGGAAAGAGAGUUAAAAAGCACGUGAAAUUGUUGAAAGGGAAGCGCUUGCAGCCAGACUUGCCUGUAGUUGCUCAUCCGGGUUUCUACCCGGUGCACUCUUCUAUAGGCAGGCCAGCAUCAGUUUGGGCGGUUGGAUAAAGGUCUCUGUCAUGUACCUCCUUUCGGGGAGAACUUAUAGGGGAGACGACAUGCAACCAGCCUGGACUGAGGUCCGCGCAUCUGCUAGGAUGCUGGCGUAAUGGCUGUAAGCGGCCCGUCUUGAAACACGGACCAAGGAGUCUAACAUCUAUGCGAGUGUUUGGGUGUCAAGCCCGAGCGCGUAAUGAAAGUGAACGGAGGUGGGAACCUUUCGGGGUGCACCAUCGACCGAUCCUGAUGUCUUCGGAUGGAUUUGAGUAAGAGCAUAGCUGUUGGGACCCGAAAGAUGGUGAACUAUGCUUGAAUAGGGUGAAGCCAGAGGAAACUCUGGUGGAGGCUCGCAGCGGUUCUGACGUGCAAAUCGAUCGUCAAAUUUGGGCAUAGGGGCGAAAGACUAAUCGAACUAUCU